rnacentral:rRNA from 1 species
UACAUGUGGGGCAAGCGUUGUUCGGAAUUACUGGGCCUAAAGGGUGCGUAGGCGGCGCGUCAAGUCACUGGUGAAAGUUUGCGGCCCAACCGUAAAAUUGCCGGCGAUACUGGCGUGCUUGAGUGCGUGAGGGGUUGGGGGAACGAGUGGUGUAGCGGUGAAAUGCGUAGAGAUCACUCGGAAGGCCAGAGCCGAAGGGGCCCAACUGGUACGCAACUGACGCUGAGGCACGAAAGCGUGGGGAGCAAACAGG